CGAAAUCGGUAGACGCUACGGACUUAAUAGAAUUGAGCCUUGGUAUGGAAAAAUCCGUUGGUUUUAUAAACCGUGAGGGUUCAAGUCCCUCUAUCCCCA
rnacentral:tRNA from 7 species